CUCGUAGGUGGUUUGUCGCGUUGUUCGUGAAAACUCACAGCUCAACUGUGGGCGUGCGGGCGAUACGGGCAGACUUGAGUACUGCAGGGGAGACUGGAAUUCCUGGUGUAGCGGUGGAAUGCGCAGAUAUCAGGAGGAACACCGGUGGCGAAGGCGGGUCUCUGGGCAGUAACUGACGCUGAGGAGCGAAAGCGUGGGGAGCGAACA
rnacentral:rRNA from 1 species